UGAUGCUAUCACUCUAUCCACCGGUGAACCUCCCUUCCCCGCGUCUCCUCCAAUGGCAACCGUUACUCACCUCGUCACUCCGCCGGAAUCUUCCCGCGCCUACCGUCCCCGAGCUGCAGCGAAGACCUCCGAGGCACUCCAGGAGAAGAAAUCCGUGUACGUGAACUACGACAGAGGGGAGCACGAGGUCUCUGUCCGGGUCAGCGGGUUCAGGAAAGCGGAUAUCGCGAGACGGUACCGGGUUCGGGUCGAGAACGACCGGUUCCAGAAGGAUUGGAGCGUGACGGAGGUGGCGGAACGGCUUGUGGCUCUCAAUCGUUGGGAGGAAGUUGAUGGCGUUCUCAAUUCCUGGGUUGGCCGGUUCGCUAGAAAGAAUUUUCCAAUUCUUAUCAGUGAGCUCAGUAGAAGAGGAUGCAUCGAUCUUUGUGUGAAUGUUUUCAACUGGAUGAAGAAUCAGAAGAACUACUGUGCGAGGAAUGAUAUCUACAAUACCAUGAUCAGGCUCCACGCUAGGUGUAACAGGGUUGACCAGGCUCGUGGCCUCUUCUUUGAAAUGCAAAAAUGGAGCUGUAAACCGGAUGCUGAAACGUACAACGCUCUUAUCAAUGCUCAUGGUCGAGCUGGUCAGUGGCGCUGGGCUAUGAAUCUCAUGGAUGACAUGUUACGUGCAGCUAUUGCUCCUAGUCGUACAACCUACAACAACCUCAUCAACGCUUGCGGGUCAAGUGGAAACUGGAGAGAGGCGUUGGAAGUAUGCAAGAAAAUGACAGACAACGGAGUCGGACCAGAUCUAGUGACUCACAACAUCGUCUUGUCUGCAUACAAGAGCGGUCGUCAGUAUUCCAAAGCCUUGUCUUACUUUGAGCUCAUGAAGGGAGCAAAAGUUCGUCCAGACACCACCACUUUCAACAUCAUCAUCUACUGCCUGUCGAAGCUUGGUGAAACCAGCCAAGCCUUAGAUGUUUUCAACUCCAUGAGGGAUAAGAAGAGAGCCGAGUGCCGUCCCGAUGUGGUGACGUUCACCAGCAUCAUGCAUUUAUACUCCGUCAGGGGAGAGGUUGAAAGCUGCAGAGCCGUGUUCGAGGCCAUGGUUGCGGAAGGUCUGAGGCCUAAUAUUGUUUCUUACAACGCGUUGAUGGGCGCCUACGCUGUACAUGGGAUGAGCGAGAACGCUCUCUCGGUGUUUCAAGAGAUUAAACGGAACGGUAUGGUCCCUGACGUUGUCUCCUACACGUGCCUGCUCAACUCUUACGGAAGAUCAGGACAGCCUGGGAAGGCGAAGGAGGUGUUUCUCAUGAUGAGGAAGGAGAGGAGGAAGCCUAACGUUGUUACUUACAACGCGCUGAUCGAUGCUUAUGGUUCUAACGGACUUUUACCUGAAGCCGUGGGAGUCUUCAGACAGAUGGAGCAAGACGGGUUUAAGCCGAAUGUUGUGUCCGUAUGCACUCUUUUGGCUGCUUGUAGCAGGUCCGGGAAAAAAGUGAACGUUGAGACUGUGCUCUCCGCGGCGGAGGCGAGAGGUAUCAAGCUCAAUACUGCAGCGUAUAACUCAGCCAUUGGAAGCUUUAUAAACGGUGCUGAGCUUGAGAAGGCUGUUGCGUUGUAUCAGACUAUGAGUAGAAAGAAAGUCAAAGCUGAUUCGGUUACUUUCACUGUCCUUAUAAGCGGUUCGUGUAGGAUGUCGAAAUACUCCGAAGCAGUUAGUUACUUGAAAGAUAUGGAAGAGCUCGGUGUUCCGAUGACGAAGGAGGUGUACUCUUCUGUUCUGUGUGCUUACAGCAAACAGGGUCAAGUUACAGAAGCAGAAUCCAUAUUCAAACAGAUGAAGAUGGAUGGGUGCAAGCCUGAUGUGAUUGCGUACACUUCAAUGCUCCAUGCUUACAACGCUUCAGAGAAGUGGGAAAAGGCUUGUGAACUCUUUCUGGAGAUGGAAGACAAUGGAGUAGAACCAGACUCUAUUGCAUGUUCAGCCUUGAUGAGAGCUUUCAACAAGGGAGGUCAAGCGUCAAAUGUGUUUAUCCUGAUGGAUUUGAUGCGGGAAAAAGAAGUCCCCUUCACUGGAGCUGUUUUCUUUGAGAUCUUUUCGGCUUGUAACACGUAUACACUCCUUGCAGGAAUGGAAAAGAGCGAUAGAUCUCAUCCAAAUGAUGGAACCGUACUUGCCAUCACUCUCUAUCGGUUUAACUAAUCAGAUGUUGCAUCUUUUUGGAAAGAGUGGUAAAGUGGAAGCUAUGAUGAAGUUAUUCUAUAAGAUAAUAGCAUCUGGCGUUGGAAUCAACCUCAAGACUUAUGCAGUAUUGUUGGAACAUCUUUUAGCUGUUGGAAACUGGAGAAAAUACAUUGAGGUUUUGGAAUGGAUGAAUGAUGGUGGUAUUCAACCGUCAACACAAAUGUAUCGUGACAUUAUUUCCUUUGGUGAAAGAAGUGCAGGGAUCGAGUUCGAGCCCCUAAUACGCCAAAAACUAGCAUCACUGAGAAACAAAGGAGUUGGUAAUCUGAGUAAAGCUCAUUAACACAAAAGUCACAUUGUAAGUUCCAUUUGUAUAGAUUAUGUAAACUUGUGUAAUCUUCUUCAUGUCCAUUAAAAAUCAAAAUCAUUUGAAAUUUUGAACUAUGAUUUUUAUAUAAUGGAGAGAUUCGAUGUGUAAGACAUUACAACGGUAUGAAGAAUCAAAUAUGAUAGAAAAAACAAUAGAGCAGAUUUGAAUA